rnacentral:rRNA from 1 species
UGGCGGCGUGCCUAAUACAUGCAAGUCGAGCUUACAGACGAGGAGCUUGCUCCUUUGACGUUAGCGGCGGACGGGUGAGUAACACGUGGAUAACCUACCUAUAAGACUGGGAUAACUUCGGGAAACCGGAGCUAAUACCGGAUAACAUGUUGAACCGCAUGGUUCAACAGUGAAAGACGGUCUUGCUGUCACUUAUAGAUGGAUCCGCGCCGCAUUAGCUAGUUGGUAAGGUAACGGCUUACCAAGGCAACGAUGCGUAGCCGACCUGAGAGGGUGAUCGGCCACACUGGAACUGAGACACGGUCCAGACUCCUACGGGAGGCAGCAGUAGGGAAUCUUCCGCAAUGGGCGAAAGCCUGACGGAGCAACGCCGCGUGAGUGAAGAAGGUCUUCGGAUCGUAAAACUCUGUUAUUAGGGAAGAACAAAUGUGUAAGUAACUAUGCACGUCUUGACGGUACCUAAUCAGAAAGCCACGGCUAACUACGUGCCAGCAGCCGCGGUAAUACGUAGGUGGCAAGCGUUAUCCGGAAUUAUUGGGCGUAAAGCGCGCGUAGGCGGUUUUUUAAGUCUGAUGUGAAAGCCCACGGCUCAACCGUGGAGGGUCAUUGGAAACUGGAAAACUUGAGUGCAGAAGAGGAAAGUGGAAUUCCAUGUGUAGCGGUGAAAUGCGCAGAGAUAUGGAGGAACACCAGUGGCGAAGGCGACUUUCUGGUCUGUAACUGACGCUGAUGUGCGAAAGCGUGGGGAUCAAACAGGAUUAGAUACCCUGGUAGUCCACGCCGUAAACGAUGAGUGCUAAGUGUUAGGGGGUUUCCGCCCCUUAGUGCUGCAGCUAACGCAUUAAGCACUCCGCCUGGGGAGUACGACCGCAAGGUUGAAACUCAAAGGAAUUGACGGGGACCCGCACAAGCGGUGGAGCAUGUGGUUUAAUUCGAAGCAACGCGAAGAACCUUACCAAAUCUUGACAUCCUCUGACCCCUCUAGAGAUAGAGUUUUCCCCUUCGGGGGACAGAGUGACAGGUGGUGCAUGGUUGUCGUCAGCUCGUGUCGUGAGAUGUUGGGUUAAGUCCCGCAACGAGCGCAACCCUUAAGCUUAGUUGCCAUCAUUAAGUUGGGCACUCUAAGUUGACUGCCGGUGACAAACCGGAGGAAGGUGGGGAUGACGUCAAAUCAUCAUGCCCCUUAUGAUUUGGGCUACACACGUGCUACAAUGGACAAUACAAAGGGUAGCGAAACCGCGAGGUCAAGCAAAUCCCAUAAAGUUGUUCUCAGUUCGGAUUGUAGUCUGCAACUCGACUACAUGAAGCUGGAAUCGCUAGUAAUCGUGGAUCAGCAUGCUACGGUGAAUACGUUCCCGGGUCUUGUACACACCGCCCGUCACACCACGAGAGUUUGUAACACCCGAAGCCGGUGGAGUAACCUUUUGGAGCUAGCCGUCGAAGGUGGGACAAAUGAUA